rnacentral:snRNA from 1 species
GUGCUCGCUUCGGCUGCCCAUAUACUAAAAUUGGAAUGAUACAGAGAAGACUAGCAUGGCCCCUGUGCAAGGAUGACACACAAAUUCGUGAACCGUUCCAUAUUUUU